rnacentral:rRNA from 1 species
UGGGGAAUAUUGGACAAUGGGCGAAAGCCUGAUCCAGCCAUGCCGCGUGUGUGAAGAAGGUCUUCGGAUUGUAAAGCACUUUAAGUUGGGAGGAAGGGCAUUAACCUAAUACGUUAGUGUUUUGACGUUACCGACAGAAUAAGCACCGGCUAACUCUGUGCCAGCAGCAGCGGUAAUACAGAGGGUGCAAGCGUUAAUCGGAAUUACUGGGCGUAAAGCGCGCGUAGGUGGUUUGUUAAGUUGGAUGUGAAAGCCCCGGGCUCAACCUGGGAACUGCAUUCAAAACUGACUGACUAGAGUAUGGUAGAGGGUGGUGGAAUUUCCUGUGUAGCGGUGAAAUGCGUAGAUAUAGGAAGGAACACCAGUGGCGAAGGCGACCACCUGGACUAAUACUGACACUGAGGUGCGAAAGCGUGGGGAGCAAACA